rnacentral:rRNA from 1 species
UACGUAGGUGGCAAGCGUUGUCCGGAUUUACUGGGCGUAAAGAGCGCGCAGGCGGUCGUUCAAGUCGCGUGUGAAAGCCCCCGGCUCAACUGGGGAGGGUCACGCGAUACUGAUCGACUCGAAGGCAGGAGAGGGUAGUGGAAUUCCCGGUGUAGUGGUGAAAUGCGUAGAGAUCGGGAGGAACAUCCGUGGCGAAGGCGACUACCUGGACCAGCACUGACACUGAGGCACGAAAGCGUGGGGAGUAAACAGG